rnacentral:snoRNA from 1 species
AAACCAUGGUGAGGACACUCUAAGAGAAGAUCCUUAAAACGUUCCAUACACCUAGAAAAUGAUUCACUGGGUUUUUUGACGAAACUGAAGAAUGACGUUCCUAAGUUU